GAUGAACGCUGGCGGCGUGCCUAAUACAUGCCAGUCGAGCGAACGGACGAGAAGCUUGCUUCUCUGAUGUUAGCGGCGGACGGGUGAGUAACACGUGGAUAACCUACCUAUAAGACUGGGAUAACUUCGGGAAACCGUAGCUAAUACCGGAUAAUAUUUUGAACCGCAUGGUUCAAAAGUGAAAGACGGUCUUGCUGUCACUUAUAGAUGGAUCCGCGCUGCAUUAUCUAGUUGGUAAGGUAACGGCUUACCAAGGCAACGAUGCAUAGCCGACCUGAGAGGGUGAUCGGCCACACUGGAACCGAGACACGGUCCGGACUCCUACGGGAGGCAGCAGUAGGGAAUCUUCCGCAAUGGGCGAAAGCCUGACGGAGCAACGCCGCGUGAGUGAUGAAGGUCUUCGGAUCGUAAAACUCUGUUAUUAGGGAAGAACAUAUGUGUAAGUAACUGUGCACAUCUUGACGGUACCUAAUCAGAAAGCCACGGCUAACUACGUG
rnacentral:rRNA from 1 species